CACUGAGAGUGUGCUGUGGGCAUCGGUCAUUAUCUUUCCCUGAAGAAAUGGAGAGCACAGAUUAAACUGGCCAGUAAAUGAAAAGGAAGGAUAUUGUGGGGGCACAGAGGAGGGGAUAUCCAGUUCGACUUUGAAAGGAGGGAGAGUGGAGAGAGAUGCGAGGUUUUUCCUUGGCAAAAAUGAUACAUAAACUGAGACUAGAAAGCCCUCCCCUCCCCAAAGUAGGGGCAUGUGUAAAUUUGAAAAUUUAAAGGCAGAGAGCUGCAUGAAAUAACAUGGUGUGUUCAGGAAAUUAUAAGUAUCUGUAUCGCUGACUUUAGGAGAAACGGUAGAGGAGCUGGGGGAAGGGCGGAAGGCUGUAAUAGAGGUCGUGCCAUGUACAAUCGGGGAGCAACUUCGCAUGUUCUCCUUAUGCCCAUCAGGGUGCAUUAGCCAUGUAUCUAUUCAUUAGUCAUAGAGACACUUGCUGUGCCCAAGGAUGAGAAGGAGGUGAAGGAGAUGGAUAUGUACACAAAUAAUUCCAAGGGAAUGCCUGAGGAAAGAUCAGGAAGCAACAAUUAGAACUGGACAUGGAACAAAAGACUGGUUCCAAAUCGGGAAAGGAGUACGUGAAGGCCUAUAUUGUCACCCUGUUUUUUAUCUUAUAUGCAGAGUAUAUAAGUUCAGUAACUGAACUGAAGUUAGGGGGAAAGUGUGUGCAUACACACACACACACACACACACACAUGAGACAAAGGUGAUGCCUAUGAAGAGAUCAGUGGCUCGUGGUAAUUUAACCUGCAUUUCAAGGCUAAGAGAAAGCCAGAUAGGAGGGUGAUCUGUCACCCCACCAUGGUCUGGGCUGCCUGGGCUGAUGUCCCCAGCUGCAUGAAGCUCUCACUUCCUAGCCUGCUAUACCCUAUGCCUCCUUCAAGUGCCCCAGCCUGUCACUGAUGACCCAGGUAGAGUAGAGAAAAGCCAUUGACACCCAGACUGCUCAACAAGUAUGACCCAGUCACCAGAAGGCUGCUCACGGAACUUAGGCACCAGAGGAAAAGCCCACACGCUUCCAGGCAGAAGCAGUGCUCUUUGGCCAUUUCCUGGGUGGAAUCUAGGACACAGAUUUUUGUCUCCUCUUUGUAUUAUUUUUAAAAGAAAUAUAUUUAUUAAUAUAUGUACACAUUUUAGAAACUAGAAACAUUUAGGGUAUUUAGGGAAAUUCACUCCAAAAUUCAACAAACCUCAGUGAAAACAAGUUGUAUUUGUUUAGUGGUUUGAGUCUAUUAACUAGCUGCAUUUUCUGUCUUCAAUCAGUACAGUUCAGUUCACUUUCUCAGUCAUGUCCGACUCUUUGCAACCCCAUGAGCUGCAGCACACCAGGCUUCUCUGUCCAUCACC
ensembl:lncRNA